ensembl:lncRNA
GGAACAGGUCCAGGUCUAAAGGGGGAACCAGGGGCCCUGACAUGCAAAUUUUAAGUUGCUGGGUGCCCUUCAGUUGCCGGGAGAUUAAAGUGGAGUCCAAUGUGCUAAGCGUCCAACGCAAACUGCCUUAAUCCCCUGAUCACCAGCAUGCCAUGUAGGUUCACUGCCUCCAUCUGGGACUGAAGGAACUGCAGGAUGUGAGAGCACGAGAUAGGGCACCAGCAAAUAGUGUCACUGCAGCUUCUUAGCUUUUCUUUUCUUUUCUUUUUUUUGGACUGGGGGCAAAGGAUCCUAGGAAGCUGCUGAGACAGGCUCCCACACACAAAGGUAAACAGAAAAACACUGCCGCAACAUAUGGUACCACACAAAGAACAACGUGCAAUCAAGUGGUGAACGAUCGCUGGUUUUACGUCUGCACAGCUGUUUUAUGAAAUGUUUUUUGGGCGUGGCUGGGCUAGCCGGAGUUUUUUAAAGAAAUAUCCAGGUGCCAUAACCAAGGGGGUGGGGGAUCAUUGAAUAUGGAGAGAUAAUGUCAAUAUGCUAGAAAACACGUGAAGGAAAUUCAUCACAAGGUUGUGCAACAAACCCAGAAACUCUACAGGCCUCGGUCAGCAGGUUAAAGAUUAACGUUAAUGACAUCAUAAAAAGACUGAACAAGCAUGGCUGUUUGAAAAGGUCGCAAGAGAAAUCUUCUUCUAUCUAAAAGAACAUAGCUAAAUGGCUUAGGUUUGCAAAGCUAGGGGUGGACAAAACACAAGGAAAACACAGGAAACCAUCACUGCAGGUUACCGCUGCUAAAGGAUGUUGUACAAGCUGCUGAAUCAGUUUGGCUGAGAUGGAAAAAAAACUUCAGGAGGCAAAGACUGUGAUUAUACAUCAAGAGGAGGAACUGAAUUCAGUCAAAGAGAGUUUGACAGAGAUGGAAGCAUUUUACAAAGUGAGCCUGAAAAAAGCAGGUUUGGCCGCGAUGGAAGGGUUUUACAAAGAGAAACUCCAAGAAGAAAGAUCUGCACAUAAAGAAACUGAAGAAGAAUUGAGAUCAUUCAAAGACAGAGUGGCAGAAGAGGUUGAUCUUUCACUAAAGACGGGGAACUCUGAAAACAUGAACAACCCAGUGAAUGAAACCAGACUGAAAGAGAUGUAUGAAGAGCUGAGGAAGGACUGGACUAAAAACAAGUCUUUUCUGCAGACAGCUUACAGAAACACAGAGACAAUCAAAGCCUGGAUUCAGCGCAGCUUUCUAUGUGGGGAAGGGGAUAUGGAGCAGAAGAAGAAACUGAUAGAGUUAGCAUUUAACCUAAAUGCGGACCACACUCGAGUAUCUCAGAAGGUUCAUGAAUACACAAAGCUAACCCUUCAGAACCUUCAGCUUGCUGUUUACUACAGUUUUAAAAACACUACUGCUCAGGGGUUCCACGGACAGGAAGGUGAAACUCAUGACAACAGCAUGAAUAAUUUCCUCACGAAGUGCCGCUGGCUGAGCAGCUUAUUGGCUUUGAACAAUCCACCGCUUCAGCCUGACUGGAUAAAUCAUCAUCCCGGGCAAGAUGCUUGGAACAUUUUCCCACAAGAAAUCAGAGCUGAUUCUGCCAUAUCACUCUGCCAGGGCCACUCUGCAAAUGUCCUUAAAUGUUCUUCGCCAUCCCAGGACCCAGACAUGAACAAGACUGAAGAUUCCUAGAAAGAUCUUCGUAGAACAUGUCUUCUAUCCUGUCUUCCUUCUCUCACCCCAACCACUCGCAGUAGAUGGCCGCCCCUCCCUGAGCCUGGUUCUGCUGGAGGUUUCUUCCAUUUAAAAGGGAUUUUUCCCUUCCCACUGUUGCCAAAGUGCUUGCUAAUAUGGGGUCAUAUGAUUGUUGGUUGUUUUCUCUGUAUGUAUUAUUGUAGGGUCUACCUUACAAUAAAAUCAAGAUCAACAGAGCCUCGAGGCGACAGUUGUUGUGAUUUAACGCUGUAUAAAUAAAACUGAAUGUAACAUAAACACCUGUCCCCCUCUGCUGACAUGGCCCCAUGAGCUCCCUGCACCACCUCUCCACUGCAGCAGGCCGGUGACCACACCCCUGCCACAAUUUCAAAAAAUGUUUUCCCUUAACUGACAGUAAUGUGUUUGAAAGUACUGCUCUGGCAGUGUUACGGGGAGAGAGAGAAAAAAAAGAUCUUGAGCUGUUUAUUAUUUAACUUGAUUUCUGUUAAUACUUUUGACUUUUGUAAUUUAUUCUGAUAAUUUAAUCAUCAAAAAUGAUUUACAUCUGACAGUCCAUGCUGCAUGUUUUAUUGCCUUGGCUUAUACAGAACUAACAUGUUUGACUUGUGGUAAAAAGACAAUUCUUCCCUGUGUGUUUUAAAACUUGGGAUAUCCUUUAAGGAAAAUAUAGGAAAAUCAAGGAAAACACGCAUUCCUUCUUUGUUUUUGCAUCAUAGUCGUGGUAGCCUCAGUAGGUCACUGUUGUGUAUGUAUGUGAUUUGACUUUAGAAAAAACUGAAUAGAAAGAGUAGAAGAUGC